GCCGGGCGCCGUGGCACGUGCCUGUAGUCCUAGCUACUCGGGAGGCUGAGGUGGGAGGAUCGCUUGAGCCCAGGAGUUCUGGGCUGUAGUGCACUAUGCCCAUGGGUGUCCACACUAAGUUCCACAACAAUAUGGUGACCCCCUGGGAGCGGGGAACACCAGGUUGCCUAAGGAGGGGUGAACUGACCCAGGUCGGAAACGGAGCAGGUCAAAACUCUCGUGCUGAUCAGUAGUGGAAUCGCGCCUGUGAAUAGCCACUACACUCCAGCCUGGGCAACAUAGUGAGACCCUGUCUCU
rnacentral:SRP_RNA from 1 species